rnacentral:rRNA from 1 species
GAUGAACGCUGGCGGCGUGCCUAAUACAUGCAAGUCGAGCGAACAGACGAGGAGCUUGCUCCUCUGACGUUAGCGGCGGACGGGUGAGUAACACGUGGAUAACCUACCUAUAAGACUGGGAUAACUUCGGGAAACCGGAGCUAAUACCGGAUAAUAUAUUGAACCGCAUGGUUCAAUAGUGAAAGACGGUUUUGCUGUCACUUAUAGAUGGAUCCGCGCCGCAUUAGCUAGUUGGUAAGGUAACGGCUUACCAAGGCAACGAUGCGUAGCCGACCUGAGAGGGUGAUGGGCCACACUGGAACUGAGACACGGUCCAGACUACUACGGGAGGCAGCAGUAGGGAAUCUUCCGCAAUGGGCGAAAGCUUGACGGAGCAACGCCGCGUGAGUGAUGAAGGUCUUCGGAUCGUAAAACUCUGUUAUUAGGGAAGAACAAAUGUGUAAGUAACUAUGCACGCCUUGACGGUACCUAAUCAGAAAGCCACGGCUAACUACGUG